UACGGGGGGGGCAAGCGUUGUUCGGAAUUACUGGGCGUAAAGGGCUCGUAGGUGGCCAACUAAGUCAGACGUGAAAUCCCUCGGCUUAACCGGGGAACUGCGUCUGAUACUGGAUGGCUUGAGUUUGGGAGAGGGACGCGGAAUUCCAGGUGUAGCGGUGAAAUGCGUAGAUAUCUGGAGGAACACCGGUGGCGAAGGCGGCAUCCUGGACCGGCAUUGACGCUGAGGCGCGAAAGCUAGGGGAGCAAACGGG
rnacentral:rRNA from 1 species